CAUGCGAGUCGAGCGGAUGAGGAGAGCUUGCUCUCUGAUUCAGCGGCGGACGGGUGAGUAAUGCCUAGGAAUCUGCCUGGUAGUGGGGGACAACGUUUCSAAAGGAACGCUAAUACCGCAUACGUCCUACGGGAGAAAGUGGGGGAUCUUCGGACCUCACGCUAUCAGAUGAGCCUAGGUCGGAUUAGCUAGUUGGUGGGGUAACGGCUCACCAAGGCGACGAUCCGUAACUGGUCUGAGAGGAUGAUCAGUCACACUGGAACUGAGACACGGUCCAGACUCCUACGGGAGGCAGCAGUGGGGAAUAUUGGACAAUGGGCGAAAGCCUGAUCCAGCCAUGCCGCGUGUGUGAAGAAGGCCCUCGGGUCGUAAAGCACUUUAAGCUGGGAGGAAGGGYUGUAACCUAAUACGUUGCAGCUUUGACGUUACCAGCAGAAUAAGCACCGGCUAACUCUGUGCCAGCAGCCGCGGUAAUACAGAGGGUGCAAGCGUUAAUCGGAAUUACUGGGCGUAAAGCGCGCGUAGGUGGCUUGGUAAGUUGAAUGUGAAAUCCYCGGGCUCAACCUGGGAACUGCAUCCAAAACUGCCUGGCUAGAGUACGGUAGAGGGUGGUGGAAUUUCCUGUGUAGCGGUGAAAUGCGGUAGAUAUAGGAAGGAACACCAGUGGCGAAGGCGACCACCUGGACUGAUACUGACACUGAGGUGCGAAAGCGUGGGRGAGCAAAACAGGAUUAGAUACCCUGGGUAGUCCACGCCGUAAACGAUGUCAACUAGCCGUUGGGGUCCUUGAGACUUUAGUGGCGCASCUAACGCAAUAAGUUUGACCGCCUGGGGAGUACGGCCGCAAGGGUUAAAACYUCARAAUGAA
rnacentral:rRNA from 1 species